rnacentral:rRNA from 1 species
AACGAACGCUGGCGGCAUGCCUAACACAUGCAAGUCGAACGUGAUCCGGGGCUUGCUCCGGUGAAAGUGGCGGACGGGUGAGUAACGCGUGGGAACCUGCCCAUUGGUCGGGGAUAACUGCGGGAAACUGCAGCUAAUACCCGGUAAGCCCUACGGGGGAAAGAUUUAUCGCCAUUGGAGGGGCCCGCGUCGGAUUAGGUAGUUGGUGGGGUAAAGGCCUACCAAGCCUUCGAUCCGUAGCUGGUCUGAGAGGAUGAUCCGCCACACUGGAACUGAGACACGGUCCAGACUCCUACGGGAGGCAGCAGUGGGGAAUUUUGGACAAUGGGCGCAAGCCUGAUCCAGCCAUGCCGCGUGAGUGAAGAAGGCCUUCGGGUUGUAAAGGCUCUUUCGGUGGGGAAGAAAUUGCUUGGGUUAAUACCCUGAGUAGAUGACGGUACCCGCAUAAGAAGCACCGGCUAACUACGUGCCAGCAGCCGCGGUAAU